AAUAUCUGUUGUUAAAAUUCAAAUAUACUAAAAAAAGAACUGGGCUUUUCUUCAAUCUUUAAAUUUUUUUCUUCAAAUUUUGGACAUUGUAAUUUUUAAAACUGAUGGUAUAGUUACCAUCUUAAUUAGGUUUUAUGGCAUUCAUUUUUUGUAUUAAAUUGUGAAUUUAAAGUAGAAGUCUUCAUAUUUACUUAUUCAAAUACCUAUCUGAAUCAAAUGUACACUUUUUCAGAAUUUUGACAAAAACGAUUGAAUGGACUGAAAUUAAAGCAGGAAUAGAUCAAAUUAUAUUAAAGUUUUUUAGAAACAUAUUUAGAAAGCAAUAUUUCUCAAUUUGAUGAAGUGACUUUAAGUUAUAAUCUACACGGCAAAAAAAAAAACAGAUAGAACCAAUAUGAAUUACACUUUGAAAAUGAUCAUUUAUUCAAUAGUACUGAUAAAUCAAAACAAAACAAAAUCAAAAGAAAUAUAAGUGGCUAUGUAUGAAAAAUCAUCCUAAUAGAAAUGAAAACGUAUUUAAAUGUGAUGCGUCUAAUAAAAAUUUGUAUCUAUGUCUCCUGAAAGUUCAUACAAGAAAAAAUUUCAAAUAUGAUUUUUGUAAAUACUCAUUUGUUAGAUGUACAAAACUAAUAAAUCAUUUAUAGUCCAUAAAGGAGAAAAUCCUUAUAAAUGUGAUAUUUACCAACAGUCUUUUAAUAUUCAGGGUAACUUCAUAUGGCAUUUAUGUGUUCAUACACGAGAAAAAGUGAAAAACAUACCAUUGUAAUAUUUGUCAGAAAAAUUUAGCUCAACUUGGUGACUUAGUAUGCAUAUUUAUACAGGAGAAAAACAUUUAUCAAAUGCAUUUAUUACUAACAACUCGUAAUCAACACAAAUACAUAUACACUAAAAAAAAAACCUUUCAAAUGUAAUACUUAUCAAAAAAUAUUGAAGAAAUAUAUAUAUUUAUAAAUCUAUAAUCAUCAAAUAAUAAAUAGAGAAUAUAGAAGACCGACCAAUCUUCAUCAAUAGUGUUCUCAUUAUAAGAAUAUUUAUUUCGUUAUUAGUGUAUUUUGCAUAAUUAUUACAAAAACCAGCCACUAAACUAUUGUGUAGGAGAUAAGAUGCUAUGUAACAAUUUUUUGGAUUUCAUUUUUUUCUUUUUUACAGAAUAUUAUUGUAUUGAAAAACAUUUUUUUGACUUUAAAAUGAGAAAAAUAAUUCUAUCACUUAUAAUAAUUAUAUUAAUAUAGGAUCCAGUAAUUAUACAAUAAUUGAAAUACUUCCAUUGUUUUUCUUCAAUAGUAUAAUAUUUUAAAAUUGUAUAGCACGUUAUUUCCACCAAGAGUUCAAUUAUUGAUUACUAAUUUUAAUAAUUUUUACUAUAUUUUGAUAUGAAUAUUUUUAUUAUUAUCUUGUUAUAUUCAUAUAAAUAACUGAACUAGUUUAAACUGGUUUUAAUGUUGUUAUUUACCAUUAAUUUUCUAUAAUGCUAGCUAGUU